rnacentral:rRNA from 1 species
UACGACUACAUAUCAGGCAUAUCAAUAAGCGGAGGAAAAGAAACUAACUAGGAUUCCCUCAGUAACGGCGAGUGAAGCGGGAAGAGCUCAAAUUUGAAAUCUUCAAGGUUCUACCUUGACGAAUUGUAGUUUAAAGAAGUGUUUUCUGUUGGAGUUUUGGUAAAAGUUCUUUGGAAUAGGACAUCAUAGAGGAUGAGAAUCCCGCAUUUGACCAUUACUUCCAGCGUUGUGAUACACUUUCAAAGAGUCGGAUUGUUUGGGAAUGCAGUCCAAAAUGGGUGGUAAAUUUCAUCUAAAGCUAAAUAUUGGCGAGAGACCGAUAGCGAACAAGUACCGUGAGGGAAAGAUGAAAAGAACUUUGAAAAGAGAGUUAAACAGUACGUGAAAUUGUCAAAAGGGAAGCGUUUGACACCAGUGUUGUUUUCUCGAAAAUCAAUUAAAAAUGACCUGGAUUUUGUGUUGUAUUGACUUUAUCAGCUUUCUGCACUUUUUUCUUGUCUUUUUUAAUGCACUUUUCGUUUAACAAGUCAACAUCAAUUUCUUUUGUUGUAAAAGGGUCAUUGGAAGGUGGCUUUCACUUCGGUGAAAGUGUUUAUAGCCUUUGACUUCUGCAAUCGGAGAGAUUGAGGUCUGCAGCGUAGAUCCUUCGGGGUUAGAUACAUUUGUGCUAAGUUAUAGCUUUUCAUAGACAACUUGUUGACUAUGUUUAGUCAUUGUAGCUUACUCGCUUAUGCUAAUUUUACCUACGCUUAGGAUGUUGAUCUCUCACAGUCGAGC